AACGAACGCUGGCGGCAGGCCUAACACAUGCAAGUCGAACGCACCGCAAGGUGAGUGGCGCACGGGUGAGUAACACGUGGGAAUGUAUCCUUUGGUUCGGAAUAACGUCUGGAAACGGACGCUAAUACCGGAUGAGCCCUUAGGGGGAAAGAUUUAUCGCCAAAGGAGCAGCCCGCGUCUGAUUAGGUAGUUGGUGGGGUAAAGGCCUACCAAGCCGACGAUCAGUAGCUGGUCUGAGAGGAUGAUCAGCCACACUGGGACUGAGACACGGCCCAGACUCCUACGGGAGGCAGCAGUGGGGAAUAUUGGACAAUGGGCGAAAGCCUGAUCCAGCCAUGCCGCGUGAGUGAUGAAGGCCCUAGGGUUGUAAAGCUCUUUCACCGACGAAGAUAAUGACGGUAGUCGGAGAAGAAGCCCCGGCUAACUUCGUGCCAGCAGCCGCCGUAAAAC
rnacentral:rRNA from 1 species